rnacentral:lncRNA from 1 species
CAGGACCAAUGGUAUGCUUUUUUAGGAAAACGAGGAUGCCCAGCCACAAUAGGAAUCGUGCGGCUGCACAGUGAAAUAUCGCAACAACAACCAGGUUCCUUUCUUUCUGCUCAACCUGCCCUUUGUUUUACAAUUCCUUUAUUUAUUGGCCCUCAAAAAUUGAGAACAUUAGCAUUAUUAGAUUCAAGAGAAUCUGCUUGUUUCUUAGACGAAGAAUU